rnacentral:tRNA from 1 species
GGGGCCGUGGUCCAGCAUGGAGUGGACGCUGGCCUGGGGCGCCAGAGGUCGCGAGUUCAAAUCUCGCCGGCCCCA